rnacentral:rRNA from 1 species
UACGUAGGUGACAAGCGUUAUCCGGAAUUAUUGGGCGUAAAGAGCUCGUAGGCGGUUUGUCGCGUCUGCCGUGAAAGUCCGGGGCUCAACUCCGGAUCUGCGGUGGGUACGGGCAGACUAGAGUGAUGUAGGGGAGACUGGAAUUCCUGGUGUAGCGGUGAAAUGCGCAGAUAUCAGGAGGAACACCGAUGGCGAAGGCAGGUCUCUGGGCAUUAACUGACGCUGAGGAGCGAAAGCGUGGGUAGCAAACAGG